GGGGACGUGGCGAAAUGGCAGACGCGCAAGUCUUAGGAACUUGUGGAGCAAUCCGUGAGGGUUCAACUCCCUCCGUCCCCACCA
rnacentral:tRNA from 2 species